rnacentral:rRNA from 1 species
UACGGAGGGUGCAAGCGUUGUCCGGAAUUAUUGGGCGUAAAGAGCUCGUAGGCGGCCUGUCGCGUCGGCUGUGAAAAUCCAGGGCUCAACCCUGGACCUGCAUUCGAUACGGGCAGACUAGAGUUCGGUAGGGGAGACUGGAAUUCCUGGUGUAGCGGUGAAAUGCGCAGAUAUCAGGAGGAACACCGGUGGCGAAGGCGGGUCGCUGGGCCGAAACUGACGCUGAGGAGCGAAAGCGUGGGGAGCAAACAGG